UAUUUCGUUUGAAUAAUUAGGAGAUUUUGAGAUCAGUUAAACACUUAAACCCUAAACCUCACCACCACUACGCAUUUUGUCGAACACUUACUGUACAAAAAUUGUUGCUGUCGAUCGACAUGGAUUUGGACGAUCUCGACGAUGGCCCGAAGCAGGCCUCGACCCGGGUUUCUCGCUUCGCGCCUAAGGGCGCGAAAUUCCAAGCCGAAAGCGGAACCUCCAUCAUCAUCGGCAUCUUUGUCACUGCCGCCGCCCAAGAAGGAAGAAGUCGACAUCAAGCCCGAUACCAAGCCCUAUAUAAAGCCCGAACACGAUGAGUUAUAUGCAGCAAAAAUGGAGGUGGCUGAUGAACCAGAGGAUACUGAAUUCAGAGAUGGAGAUGAAGAUGAAGUUGUUCGAGAAAUCGAUGUCUAUAUUUCUCCUUCGAUUGAUAUCGAGACACAGCCAUGAUUGUUCUUCUUUUUGAGUGAAUUUGAUUACGAACUUUGCAUUGACGAUUGAAUUCUAAUGAUUGUGCAUUAUCGAUUUUUAUUCCUUAGUUAUAUCUGCUUCAAUAUCCACUUAGGCAGCCAUGGAGACCGUAUGAAUUGGAUCUGGAUGGUAGAUGCCAAGAGGUGAGAGUGAAGCAAGCAAGCAGAGAAGUUGAAAUUGAUUUAGCCAUUGAUGUUGACUCCACGAAUUAUGAUAAUGAUGCUGAUUCCCAAAUCCAGAUGAAGAAACAGACUAUUGCAACAUCAUGGAUUCCACAUAAAACUCAAACAAAUGGAUACACAAUUGCUGAUCUUACUGGAAAUAAG